GUAGGUACUUUGCAGAAACAUUAGAGCAGGGCUACAAGAGACAAAUGAGGGUAACAGGGAGAAUGGAUGAAACAGCUGUGAGACAAGUCUAAAACGGACUGGAGGCUCCCUCCAAGGUCAAGUGCAGACACAGGCAUAAGUACUUCCUGAAGAAGUUUUAAGUUGUUGUGGAAGCUGUGAAAAAGCUUUUUACACUGAGGAAGAAAUAGACUUGACUCACCUGCAGGAGGCUACUUGGCUGAUUACGAUAUAAGAUCUUCAGCCUAAUUCAUCCAAGGCAUCCAUCUGUCUUCAAAGAGAUUAGAAUUUUGUUGUGAAGCAGUGCAAAGAAUAAGACCAAGUUGGCAAUGGAGCCAAGUACAACAAGAUGUUGAUGAUAGAAAAGAUGAUUGGCUGGGCAUCAGUUGGAUUGAGGUCAGCAUCCAGCCCAUCAUACCAAUAGGUAUUCUGCAAAUGUAUUUGUUGAGGUAAUGAAGAAAUAAAAUCACUUACCUCCUUUCUACUGCUCUAGUUUUAUUAAGUGUGAUACAUAGAACAAUUUAUAGUAAAUAUUUUCCUUACACAUUUGAGAAAAACCUCUGUAAGAUAAUUUGGCUAUUUUGAUUCUCAGUUAUGGGUUAUCUUUGUCUUUGAUAUAUCAUUCCCUCCUUCUAGUGAAUGCUUAGUCUUUCAA